GAGGGGAAGUUCAACCAACAAGAACUGCUAACUCUUGUAUCUGAGCCUAAUACCUCAGUCCCCUUA
rnacentral:tRNA from 1 species